GAUUCAAUCAUAAAAAGGAAAGGAGACAGGCUGGGAAACAUGGCGAAAACCCAUCUCUACAAAAAAUACAAAAAUUAGCUGGGUGUAGUGGCACACACCUGUAUUCUCAGCGACUUGGGAGGGAGGUGGGAGGAUCACCUGAGCCCAGGAGGUCAAGACUGCAGUGAGUCGUGAUUGUGCAACUACAUUCCAGCCUGGGUGACAGAGAGAAACCCUUUCUCAAAAAAAAAAAAAAAAAAAAAAAAAAAAGGAGAACCGAAAGAGGAGAAAAAUCUUACAGAGAAUGUCAGUUUCAGGAUUAUGUUCUAGUGACCUGAAUCUAUACAUUCAUCGACAGAGACGUGACUCCCACAGUUUGUUUUGCAGAUAGCUGUAAAGUAAUUACACAAAUUGCACCAAGUUCUUUCCAGAUGAACUGAACACUUAGAACUAGAGAGUGUUGCCAAUUUGAUCAGAAAUUAGAUGUGAUUCUGAGAUUGAGAAAAUUGCAGAAAUAUGAUUUUUGAGAUUUUGAGAAAAUAAUUCUUCUCUUCUUCAAGCUGUACAAUGGGAUCUAUAGACAAAGCAAACUCUUCUAUCUAUACAGAAGAAUGUUAUCUCUGAGACUUUUGAAUAUCUAUUUUUGAAUUAUACAUAAUCAGGAAACUCAGGGCUUAUCUUCCUUCAAAACUCCUCCACUAAAAUAGAAUGAUUUACUGGAAAGUUACUUGCCAUAUUCUGCAUCUUCAAAGACGAGAUCUCCUUUAUUUCUCUACCACAAAGUGUUCUUUAGAAUUUUUCAUUGUAUCGAUAUAAAUUGAUGCCAGUCAUUACUACACGAAAGAUGAAACUGCAACCUCUACACAAGUCCAAGUAACAGGAUUCACACAGGGAGAGACGGAUACACUGACGUGCUCUUCAGUGACUGAUGGACUGUGUUUUCUGUUUAAAAAAAAAAAAAGCAAAACUUCGUCUUAAAAAAAAAAGAAGAGAACGGCCGGGCGCGGUGGCUCAACUUAGAGUUGGAUCUGGGGCUGGACAUGGUAGCUCAUCCCUGUAAUCCCAGGACUUUGGGAGGCCAAGAUGGGAGGCUCGCGAGACAGCAAGAAUU
rnacentral:lncRNA from 1 species